rnacentral:rRNA from 1 species
UCCGGGUUAUUCCUGCCGGACCCGACUGCUAUCGGAUUGAGAUUUAGCCAUGCUAGUCGAACGUCCCCCUGUUGCGGGGGGCGUGGCGUACGGCUCAGUAACACGUAGUCAACCUGCCCUGGAGACAAGGACAACCCCGGGAAACUGGGAUUAAUCCUUGAUAGGUCAUCUCAUCUGGAAGGAGAGAUGGCUUAAAGGGGUACGCGGGCUUCUUCCGCGAAUUCGCUCCAGGAUGGGACUGCGUCCGAUCAGGCUGUUGGCGGGGUAAUGGCCCACCAAACCUGUAACCGGUACGGGCCUUGAGAGAGGUGGCCCGGAGAUGGACACUGAGAGAAGGGUCCAGGUCCUACGGGGCGCAGCAGGCGCGAAACCUUCGCAAUGCGCGAAAGCGUGACGAGGUUAAUCCGAGUGACUCCCGCUUAGGGGGUCUUUUGUCAGCUGUAAAUAGGCAGGCGAAUAAGGGGAGGGCAAGCCUGGUGUCAGCCGCCGCGGUAAUACCAGCUCCUCGAGUGGUCGGGGCGAUUAUUGGGCCUAAAGCAUCCGUAGCCGGUUCCGUAGGUCCUCUGUUAAAUCCAACCGCUUAACGGUUGACCUGCAGAGGAUACCGCGGGACUAGGAGGCGGGAGAGGCGGACGGUACUCCGCGUGUAGGGGUAAAAUCCUUUGAUCCGCGGAAGACCACCAGUGGCGAAGGCGGUCCGCCAGAACGCGCUCGACGGUGAGGGAUGAAAGCUGGGGGAGCGAACCGGAUUAGAUACCCGGGUAGUCCCAGCCGUAAACGAUGCUAGCUAGAUGAUUCAUUCGCAAGUCGCGAAUGAAGUGUCGCACGGAAGCCCUAUAACCUACCCCCCUGUGGAAUUACGGUCCCAAGAUUGAAACUUAAAUGCAUUUGCCCGGGGGUACC